rnacentral:rRNA from 1 species
UUUCAUUGUAUGUGAACGUGCGCGCAAGUUGCCAUUG